rnacentral:rRNA from 1 species
UACGAAGGGUGCAAACGUUGCUCGGAAUUAUUGGGCGUAAAGCGCACGUAGGCGGCUAUCUAAGUCGGAUGUGAAAUCCCUCGGCUUAACCAAGGAAGUGCACCCGAAACUGGAUAGCUUGAGUACAGAAGGGGAUCGCGGAAUUCCCGGUGUAGAGGUGAAAUUCGUAGAUAUCGGGAGGAACACCAGUGGCGAAGGCGGCGAUCUGGGCUGAUACUGACGCUGAGGUGCAAAAGCGUGGGGAGCAAACAGG